rnacentral:rRNA from 1 species
AUUGAACGCUGGCGGCAUGCCUUACACAUGCAAGUCGAACGGUAACAGGUCUUCGGAUGCUGACGAGUGGCGAACGGGUGAGUAAUACAUCGGAACGUGCCCGAUCGUGGGGGAUAACGGAGCGAAAGCUUUGCUAAUACCGCAUACGAUCUACGGAUGAAAGCAGGGGACCGCAAGGCCUUGCGCGGACGGAGCGGCCGAUGGCAGAUUAGGUAGUUGGUGGGAUAAAAGCUUACCAAGCCGACGAUCUGUAGCUGGUCUGAGAGGACGACCAGCCGCACUGGGACUGAGACACGGCCCAG